AACUGAAGCAGAAAUACAAUUAAAAGAAGACAUACAAAAAUUAUUGCUAGAUAGCAUUUUUCACUAUAAUGGAUUGGAAGUGAUGGAAGAAACCUAUCUCGAUUAUCAAGAACCUUAUAAAUUACACAGUUUCGAAAUAAUUUAAGAUGACGAAGAAGCAUGGAGUGAAGAUAAUUUAAAUUCUCAUCUACAGUGUUCAAACAGCGAAGUAAAUUUUGACAGUACUUAUAAAAGACGAGCUGUUGAAUAUUGGCGGAAUUUAGACGAUAAUAAAGAAAUUAACCACAGAAAAAGGCAUCGUUCUCUAAAAUCAGUACAAAGUAAAUUUAAAAGAGUUUCAUCUGAACGUCAGUUAAGACGAUGGGAAGAACAACUACAAUCAACUGGAAAUCGUUUGGAACAAUUAUCUUAUAUCUCCAAAUUUACACAUGAUAAAUUUACUGCAGCUAUUGAAUCAGGAUUUAUGGGUCAUGAUAUCGAUUUAAAAAGAUGGGCUUUACAAGCUCAAGAAGAAAUAGGAAAUGUAAUUCCUAUAUUUAAAGCAUCUCACAGCUGGAUAUCAAGAUUCAAGAAAUCCCAUCGAAUUGUUUCAAGAAAAGUUACGAAGUUUGUAACUAAAAGAACAGUGGAAGAUUCUAUUGAUUUACAAAACUCAGCAAAUAAUUUUUUAAAAACAGUGAAACCACUUAUUGAACAGUUUAGAGCAGAAAAUGUUUAUAAUUCUGAUCAAAGUGGUUUUUAAUUAGAAAUACAUUCUGGAAGAUCAUUGUCUCCUAAAGGAAUAAAAAAAGUAGAGCGUAUCGUACAAUCUGUGUCAUCAACAACCCAUUCAUACACGAUACAACCAAUAAUAUCAUGUAAUGGUAAUUUGCUGUCACCUUUAUUUAUUGUUUUGAAAGAAGCUAACGGCGAAUUUGGACCAAGAGUACAAGAAACUUUAUUUAAGCUAACAAAUGUUAUUGUAAAAGCAUCGAAAUCUGGUAAAAUGACAUCAGAUCAUUUUAAAAUGUGGUUAGAAGAAGCUUAUUUUCCAAACAUUGGUUCUAAUAGCGUUCUUCUUAUCGAUUCAUGGACAUUGUCCCAAUAUCAUUUCGGAUUUAACACCUCUAGAUAAACAUAUUACUACUAUGAUUAUACCGAAAGGUACUACAGAAAAAAUACAACCAUUAGAUGUUUACGGAUUUAGAAUUUGGAAAAAUUUUGCUAAAAGAUUUUAAGAUAUAGUUUUAUUAUUGGAAUGUGAUAUAAAUUUGCAUGAACAAAAUAAUAUAAUAAAAUUGCAAUCUUUGAUACAUAAUCAAUUGUCAUCCCUGCGAUAUCGUAACUUAUUUAAAUAUUCGUGGUUUAAAAGUGGUUAUACGAACGAAAGACUACAGAAAUUUAAAAAUCCAGUAGAAUUUAGUUUGGAUGAUACUUCAACAACAUGUGAUAUCGAAGGUUGCAAUAAUGUAGCUAUAGUAAAAUGUUCAUGGUGCAAAAAAUCAUUAUGUUUAAAACAUUUCUUCGUUGAGUAUCAUUAUUGCAAUGAGUAUAAUGAGUAAAUGAUACAAUACAAAAUGUAUAAAUUUAUUGUAUAAAUAUUUAAAAAUUAUUUUAUUAAUAAAUAUUUAGAAAUGAUUGUGAUGAUGUAAAUCACAAUCUUAUUAUGUAAAUAAACAAAAUAUAAAAGCAUAAGACCAAAAAUAGCUUUAAGAAAAUAAUCACAAGAUAUAAAGAAAUAAUGUACAGAAAUUAGUAAAAUAAAAAGAUUUACUAAUUUUAAAAAAAAGUAAUAAAAACCAUUAUAAUUAUUAAUAUUAUUUAUAAUUUAUAAUUUGUGAUGCUAAAAUCAAUUAUAUAGAUUUCUAUUAUAUAUCUUAUCAAAAUUGUGUAUAAUCUUGUUUAGACGAUAAUUAUUUGCGUACAUGAGCACGGAUAGCUUAUAUACGGAAAUCUUUAUAAUUAAUUCUCAAAAAUGAUAUUUCGUAACAUAACUUUAAUAUACAUGGUU